UACUUAAGCUUCUUAGCCUAACGGCUAUGGCUGGUGGUUUUAUAACCACCGGCCU
rnacentral:sRNA from 1 species